UAUCAUUUAGUAGAAAUUAACAUGAAGAGUAACUCGUUUUAAAAUCAAAAUAAAUAAAAUGGACGUAAUUUACUGAAGCCUGGUCCUGUCAGAACAGGAGUUAAUAGCUAAAGUAACUGUUAAGUUAAAAAUAUGGUGGACCAUCAGUUUUUUCUUGGAAUCAAACAUAUGGGCUGCGUCUGAAAUCGCAUAUAAGUUGCAGCAGUGUUCAGCCAGCCAAC
ensembl:lncRNA